ACGCCGCCCGCCGCCCACACCCCCGCGGGCUCCAAAUCCAAAUCGCCCCACCUCCCGUCCGCCUCGCUUCGACCCGCCCGCCCCCGACGGAUCUCGCGAAAAAAGGCCGCCGCCUCCUCCUCCUUUGGUUCGCUGCCGCCUCGUCCUUUGGUCGGCCGCUGCCGCGCACACUGCCGUCACGGCCGUCCUGCGCCCGGCGGGCACGCCGACGUCCGGAGCUUGCAUGCCACCUAGCUGUCGUCGCCGCAGGUGGACCACCUGCUGUUCCGCGGCAUGGCCAACGAGGUCCGUCGGCACCGGCGGGGUCUCGCGACGCCCGGCAGGCUCCGGGUGCCGGGUGGGCGUCGAGGGGCCCUGGUAGAGGCGACGCCAAAUCUGGCGGGGGACGACCAGGUCCCACCCAUCCCAUGCAGGCAGAGAAGGGGCCGGGUCCUCGGCGACCAGCGCGGACACCACCGGAGGGGAGGCCGCCGCAGAUCCGUUGCCGGCCGGAGGCCGCAUCGCUGAAGGAGGUGGCCGGCAACAUGAGCGCCAGGGAGCCGCAAAAGAGGGUCAGAACGAGGCGCCGGCGAGGGAGGGGCACGGCUGCGAGCUGGCCGACAGGGCGGACGCGGUGGAACUGGAGGGUGGACGCGACCUCACGUGGACGGCGGAGGAGCGGCGCCUUGCCUUAGCGGAGCCAAAGGUGGCCUUGCGUGGCCUGGCGUUGAGGCGCCCGACACCUCGGGUGGCGCGGCUCUGCAGAGCCCGGGUGGAGGAAGCUGAGGCUGGCGGUGGGAUGCGCCACCUCUGUGCAAAAUCCAGGAUUUCUAAGAGGCCGCUGGAGCUGCUCGCUCUCCCAAGCAAUGGCGUCCCCAAACAGCUUCUCAACAUAGGGUCUGGUUCUGGACUUACUGGUGAGACAAUGAUGGAGCAUGGCCGCCACUAGAUUGGCUAUGAUAUUCCAAAGGCGAUGCUCGGUUAUUCUAUGGAUCUCUACAUACGACUGAAGCUUGUGGAGGAGAUGCGGAAGCAAUAGCACCAGUGGCUGGGGACUAAACAGAUCAUCGUUGCCACCACUUCCCACAAGAAUGGCUCGCUAAUCUCUGCAGGUAGUUCCUUCUCCCGCAUUAGGGAAACUACAUAUUUUCUCCACGUUCUAGAUUCAAUGUGAGCAAUCCACAUAUUGGGCUCUGUUUAAAUCAUAUAGCAUUCCUCAACAUGAAUAUGUGUUCAUAAAAAAUGAUUAGACUACGUUGCUGCAUAUUAUGGUUCCAGGGAGCGUGUAGCAUUUGAGAGUUAACUCAGUUGCGCCUGCACUUUUGAAAUAAGAGAUAACUGCUCCUUCUGUUGCAAAAAAAAGGUUGGACAUUGUUGCUUCAAAGAUAGUCCCACGUAAGGAGCAUAUGAUUUACUGUCAAAUAUACUGCUGCUUAAGGGGCAUGGCAGUGCUGACCCAAAGCUGUCAUCGUUCGCUUGUUUCCUGAUCCAUGAAGCAUUGCAUAUCUUUUCCUAUAUUCUCCUACCCGUAAGUUUUUUUGUUUCAGGCUCAGAUUAUUGUAGCUAAGUUAUCUAUUGUAGCUAAGUUAUCUAUGGUUGUGAUGCAGUUUCAGAUCAGAUGGCUUGUUUUGGGCUCAUAUAUGAUAUUUAUCAGUUAUCACUCA